AAAAGACCCAGGAUAAAUAUUUGCCUUAAAGCUGCAGACGAGCUGCCCACAACCACACCUUCGGAGGUCUGAAGACAGAAAUAUGUGCACUAUUCAGAGAUGUUAUCUCCGCUCAGAACGGUUUCCUCCUAAAUUAAACAGACUGGUGAAGAUAUGAGAAGCAUCUUGAGCCAAAUAUAUACAGAUUUGUACACAGAAGCCUUCUGAUCCCCGAGCAACCCACAGUAAAAUCUUGUCACAACGGAAUAAUAAACAUUUAUCAUAUUUUUCAACUUUCCAAAGUUCGUAGUGUACCAAGACAAUUGCAACUGGCUCUCUUCGUUUGUCUCUCAGAUGCAGAAAGCAACAGCACAAUAUUGUGCCAUAAUGAAUUCUUCAUCAUGAUUGAAAAAGUGCAAAAGGGAAACAUGUUUAAUAGGCUGAAAAAUAAGAAAGACCAGCUAAUGGAAGAGAGCCACCAGAUCUCGUUCUUAGAGAGAAGCACUCUUGCAUCAUACCGUCUGUUGGGAGGGAGAGAUGUGGAGACACAACGGAACGACGUUGAAUGUUUUCUGUGUGUGUGUGCAUGCGCACACGUGAGUGAGACCCGAU
rnacentral:lncRNA from 1 species